CAGUCGUACCUGCGGACAAUCAGCUUUUUGAGUGUGAUUAUGUGGAUUGUGAGGAGUUUAAUCACCCUCAUGUUUUACGUAUUCGUGCUCUUGGGUGUACUUGCCCGUGUGUAAGUUAACAUCAAUUUUGGUGGUCAUAAAAUGACUGGAGGAAUGUAGCUUCGAUCUUGUAUUGAAGUGUUAUAGCCUUCGGUAGAUGUGAUGAUCGGGAUUGAGGAUUGCAACGGAUACCCGUUCGGGGUUACCUGUCUGGUCUCUGAUCGUUGCUCUGGUGCCGAAAGCUUGCUUACGGUUAUCAAAGUCGAUGGUCAAUAGG
rnacentral:rRNA from 1 species